UACGUAGGGUGCAAGCGUUGUCCGGAAUUAUUGGGCGUAAAGAGCUCGUAGGCGGUUUGUCGCGUCUGCCGUGAAAGUCCGGGGCUCAACUCCGGAUCUGCGGUGGGUACGGGCAGACUAGAGUGAUGUAGGGGAGACUGGAAUUCCUGGUGUAGCGGUGAAAUGCGCAGAUAUCAGGAGGAACAGCCGAUGGCGAAGGCAGAUCUCUGGGCCGUAACUGACGCUGAGGAG
rnacentral:rRNA from 1 species